rnacentral:lncRNA from 1 species
UAAGGUGAGUCUAAGCUCUUGUUCUCACUACGCUAUCUAACUAAGGUAUAGUUGAUAGGGUUUAGCUUGCGGUGUCGGCAUCACCUGCCCAAGGACCUAUCUCUUUGUUAAUGCUGGAUCGCAUCUUUCCAUUAGGCCAAUCAACUAAGUUGAUAUCCAUCAACGAAGGGUGGUUCGAUAGUAGACUCAUUAUCUCACGUCCUCAUGUACACUAGUGUAAUACUUGUAGAGAUCUCUAUAUGGAUUGGAUUUGACAUUGAGGCGUCCCCCAACGAUAAUCACAAUUCAGACUUCAUGAGACGGAUUUGAGUAUCACUGAUCAAUGGAUCAGGUUGUGCCAAUCUCGCUUUCUUCCUAGUGCGAGAAUAUAUUGAACCUAAGGGCCUCCCUCCUUUUAGGGAGCCACACGGCCUUGUGACACCAAUUUUGCCACUAUAUGGCGUCACCAUAUCACCAUCCAUGGUGAUGGCGCCAAGACCAACUUCUUUUGGUCGCGCCAUGUCCUUUUGUAGGACAUCAAUCCUUGCAGACAUAUUUGCAGCAUGUGAUCUCGUCGCUUUAACACUAUAAGCAUUUGGGAUCAAGAUGAGACUUAGUGGGGACAAACCACGACAAUUCACGUCGUUCCACUUGAACACUUGUGUUCUUAUCUCCCCCUAACGGCGGGAAUAUUGUCUCAUCAAAGUGACAAUCCGCAAUUUAGCGGUGAAUGAGAUCGCCUGACAAGGUUUCUACAUAUGUGGAUUAUAGGUGGAGGUUCAUAUCCAACCUAAACUUAUUCAUCUCAAAUGACCAAUCAUUGUACGCAAUGGCAAUGCGAUUUGGCAUCUAGAAAUAACAUCUAGCCGAGCUCAAGGAUUGGAGAUCCGUUUCAAUCUUGCCGAGCUCAAGGAUUGCAAUUUCGUGUCAAUCCUGGUACACAGUCACGAGCUGUAGUACAACAAAAUUCAAUGAUGGUGGGUCGUAUAUGAAUAGUAAAGCUGCAUGCAAAUAUUGCAUAACCCCAAGACGCAAUAGAAAGA